AUGGGGGGCUGCCUACCCGAGGUCCCUCCCUGAUGCCCCUGUGGGGCCCCAGGUGAUGAGGAUGGAUGUGGCCCCCACUUCUUGUGCCCCAAAACCUUGUGCUGCGGGCUGAGGUGCCCCUGGAAUGAGAUGGAAGUGGGUCUGAGCCUUGAGGGGAGGAUUUGGGGGUCCCAGGCAGCCCCUCUGACCUACAACAAGGCAGUGGUGGGGGGGUACAGAUGAGUUCCAGCUGCAGCUGCUGGACACAGCCAGGCAGGAUGGAUCCUGCCACGCUCCUUCCUCGUUGGCAUCCAUGGCUGCAUCCUGGUCUACUCGGUGACAUCCCUGCAGAGGUGACCGUGGAGAUCUUCAUGAAGCUCAUUGAGGAUCUCAACCGGGUGGACAAUUCCUAUGGCAGAUCCAGCAGCCUGAUGUGAUCCCUGGGAUGGGGCAGGACCCCCGGAUGCACCAGACCCUUCCUCAGGAUCUUCACCCAGACCACGGCGGUGGCUUUGGGGAAGCCACGUGGUCCCGCUGUGGUUCGGAACCCCUCCCUUUGCACGGGCUGUGCGGCUCACAGGGGGUUCUGUCCCAUCCAGGAGCCCCCCAGCUCAUCACUGCUGUCCCCCACACACACAAGGACAGGUCUGGGCCGUUCCUGCUGUGGCAGCCGGGGCUGAAUGCGGGUGUUGUUCCCAGCGUGGGGCCGCAGUCUGGCUGGGCUGGACCCGUGGGAGUCAGGGCUGAAACAAUUAAACGUUGUUUUGUCUGUAAA